AACGAACGCUGGCGGCGUGGAUAAGACAUGCAAGUCGAACGGGAUCAUUGGAGUAGCAAUACAACGAUGGUCUAGUGGCGGACGGGUGCGUAACACGUGGAUACAUUCCGGGAAGCGGGGGAUAGCCCAGGGAAACUUGGAUAAAUACCGCAUGUGAUCGAGAGAUCAAAGACGGGGACCGAAAGGCCUGUCACUUCCCGAUUGGUACGCGGCCUAUCAGCUAGUUGGCGGGGUAAAGGCCCACCAAGGCUACGACGGGUAGCUGGUCUUAGAGGACGACCAGCCACACUGGAACUGAGACACGGUCCAGACACCUACGGGUGGCAGCAGUCGAGAAUCUUUCACAAUGGGGGCAACCCUGAUGGAGCGACGCCGCGUGGAGGAUAAGGUCUUCGGAUUGUAAACUCCUGUCAUGUGAGAACAAGGUUGCAGGGUUAAUACCUUUGCAAAUUGAUGGUAUCACAAGAGGAAGAGACGGCUAACUCUGUGCCAGCCGCCGCGGUAAGAC
rnacentral:rRNA from 1 species